UACCAAAAUAAAAUAAAAUAAAAAAUGUGGGCAUUUGAUGUUACUAUCAUCCAAACCCACUAUCUAUAUAUUAACCCUUCCAGCCUUUGUCUUUCCACUUCAUCCCUAUUCAUCUCACCCCUUUCCUCCUGCCUCUAGAAUUUGGACUGAAGCAUAGCAGAGUUUGAAAACAGAGUUACAAGAGAUGAAGAUGUCUACCACCCUGUUCAUUCUUUUCCUCAUGAUGAUCUCCUCAAGAUAUUCUGUUAACUUUUCAGCCACAAGAAUAGGUUCUGAUGAAUAGACCAACCUUCCGAAGAAUUUGGACUGAAGCAUAGCAGAGUUUGAAAACAGAGUUACAAGAGAUGAAGAUGUCUACCACCCUGUUCAUUCUUUUCCUCAUGAUGAUCUCCUCAAGAUAUUCUGUUAACUUUUCAGCCACAAGAAUAGGUUCUGAUGAAUAGACCAACCUUCCGAAGGUGAAGAUACCUAUCUUGUACAAAACGCUGCUUGGUGUUCCCAAUUUUAAAAUAGAACACUUUUCUUCAUUAAAUAUUAUAAUGGUUCCUGUGUGUACAAGCCGUGCAACAAAACCGUGCAGCGAGGACUAUUCUUUUUCCUUAUUAUUAAUAUGGGAAAAGGUUGGGUAUGCCGCCGA